rnacentral:rRNA from 1 species
UACGAAGGGGGCUAGCGUUGUUCGGAUUUACUGGGCGUAAAGCGCACGUAGGCGGUUUGUUAAGUCAGGGGUGAAAUCCCGGAGCUCAACUCCGGAACUGCCUUUGAUACUGGCAAGCUAGAGUCCGGAAGAGGUAAGUGGAACUCCUAGUGUAGAGGUGGAAUUCGUAGGUAUUAGGAAGAACACCAGUGGCGAAGGCGGCUUACUGGUCCGGAACUGACGCUGAGGUGCGAAAGCGUGGGGAGCAAACAGG